CCCUGAGGAGAGUGGCCGGUAGCUCUCAGCAUGUGAAGGCCAGGCUGUGGUCGGCUGUGGGUCUCAGCGGAAGCCCUCCCUUGCCUGGUGCUGGAUGCACAGCAGGAUGGGGCAGGAGGGGGCUGGCCUGUGUCCCUGCUGCCCCGAGCUCAGAUAGCCCCUCUAGCUUCUCUGCUGCCUGGCCUGGAGGCUGCGCCCUCAGCCUGCAGCUCCAGACUCCAGACUCCUCCCACGCAGGGAAGGCUGGUCUGGCUCCUCUGGGCUGCCCGAGCCCUCAGACUGGAGACCUGGUGAGUCAGUGCAGCGCUGCUUCUCCUCCCCACGAGCUGUGGACACCAGGGGAAGCAUCGGGACCCUUGGCCUGGCUGGGUCAAGUGUGAUCAUCCAGGCCCUGAGCUAGGGCCCUCUCUGCCACUUCCCUCGGGCAAGCAAGGCUGGACGCCACCGAGAAGGUCAGCUGGGUCCCGCCAAAGCCACCACCCUGUCCAUGGACCCUCGGAGCUACAGGGCAGCAGAGAGGUGACCUGAGGAGGGGCCAGUCCCUGGGCGCCGCUGGCUCCACUGGGCUCUCCACAUCAGCCUGGACCGAGGAAUUAGAUUCUUCCUACAAAAGCCUUGGGGGAUUGGCUGGCACUUGAUGUCUUGGGAGAUAAAAGGGGCAAAUGCUGCUAAUUAUUUGUUUUCCUCAAAUACAGAGAAUGAGACCUACCCACACACAGAGUGGGCUGCAGAGCUUAUGUCCCCCCACCAAGUAGGUGCUUCUAUUUUGCUGUGGGGAGCAGGUUGGGCUCAUCAGAGGGUGGCCAAUCUCUGGCUCUGCUGACCUAAACCCUGGAGGGCUCUCAGGACCAGGGUCAGACCCCACCAACCCCACAACGGCCUGCGGGAGCAGUGGGCAGGGGCCAGGGGUCUGCUCACUGGUGUUACCUCCUUCUGAGCCCUCUGUCCACUCGAGAACUUUCCGUGUGUCUGAUGCAGAAUCCCACAUCCCUUGGGGUUCUGACCCAGGCCCUUGUAGCCAGGCCCACGGCAGCCCGUGCUGCCUCCCAGAGGCCCUGUCCGCUGCGCCAAGGCCCCUGAGGUCACCUUCUUGGAGACUAGCACUUCCAUUGCUGAUGGAAACUGGCCACUGACAAGUCCGGCAGGAGCCCAGACUGGCUUUUUGGGAGCAGAAGUUUGCGUGGGAGCUGGUGAGGGGGCAGCCGGGCAUACCAGCUCUGGAGCUGCAUGGAGAACCACUCCCUUCUGCUGCCCCUGAGCUCACAGGGCCAAGCUCUGGCCUCGUUCUGGGGGGUCCCACCCAGGGGACGGUGCUGUCGGCCACGAGUGAGCAGUGACUGCUGCUGCCUCUGUCCGAUGGAAUGGCAUGAAGGAAAACCACACAGGAAAAAAAGAGCAAUUGGAUCCCAAAACACCCUUGGAGAUGGACAAAGGGCUCCCAGCCCAUACGUACACCCUGGGCGAUGUGAAAUUCUCCAAAACAAAACCGGAGUGGGAUUGGGUUGAUUUCAAUACACUGUAAUCUGAAGAAUAAA